GGGUUCGGAAUAACAGUUAAGAAAUGACUGCUAAUACCGAAUGAUGUCUUCGGACCAAAGAUUUAUCCGCCCAAGGAUGAGCCCGCGUCGGAUUAGCUAGUUGGUGAGGUAAAGGCUCACCAAGGCGACGAUCCGUAGCUGGUCUGAGAGGAUGAUCAGCCACACUGGGACUGAGACACGGCCCAGACUCCUACGGGAGGCAGCAGUGGGGAAUAUUGGACAAUGGGCGAAAGCCUGAUCCAGCAAUGCCGCGUGAGUGAUGAAGGCCUUCGGUCGUAAAGCUCUUUACCCGGGAUGAUAAUGACAGUACCGGGAGAAUAAGCUCCGGCUAACUCCGUG
rnacentral:rRNA from 1 species